rnacentral:rRNA from 1 species
GACGGAAGGUGCAAGCGUUGCUCGGAAUCACUGGGCGUAAAGGGUGCGUAGGCGGCUUGGUGGGUCUGGUGUGAAAGCCCCGGGCUCAGCCCGGGAAGGGCACUAGAAACUGCCGAGCUGGAGUGCCGGAGGGGAGAGUGGAAUUCCUGGUGUAGCGGUGAAAUGCGUAGAGAUCAUGAGGAAGACCAGUGGCGAAGGCGGGUCUCUGGACAGUUCCUGACACUGAGACACGAAGGCCAGGGGAGCAAACGGG